GAGAGUGUAGUGAAGAAAGGAAUGAGGGCAUUGGAGUUCUAGAAACUUCGAUUGAGGGAGUGCCAUUCAGAGGUGAUAAAAUACAAAUUUGAAGAUGGAGGGAAAGAACAAGAAGGAUAUAUGCUGCUCUUUCUUUUUAAUAAAACUCCGGUGAUGGAGAUAAAGCGAGAAAUGUUGGCGCCGACACCGGUAGGGAAACAUGUCGAAGCCGGAAAGGGAGGAAGAAGGGGCGUUAGAAAAAAAGUUAAAAAAAAAAUUGAAACGUGGCACACACUAAACAUGAAAGCUGAAAUCAGAUAUGGCACGCCGUUAGCCAUGUCAGAGAAAAUUUAACGCCAUCCAUUUUUAGGGACUAACUUUACAUGUUUUAAUAUUAAGAGGAUUAAAUGCUAUCAAUGUUUUGAGUAGGGACUAAAACCAAAAAUCACUGAUAGUUGAG
rnacentral:lncRNA from 1 species